rnacentral:rRNA from 1 species
AUUGAACGCUGGCGGCAGGCCUAACACAUGCAAGUCGAGCGGAUGAAGGGAGCUUGCUCCUGGAUUCAGCGGCGGACGGGUGAGUAAUGCCUAGGAAUCUGCCUGGUAGUGGGGGAUAACGUCCGGAAACGGGCGCUAAUACCGCAUACGUCCUGAGGGAGAAAGUGGGGGAUCUUCGGACCUCACGCUAUCAGAUGAGCCUAGGUCGGAUUAGCUAGUUGGUGGGGUAAAGGCCUACCGAGGCGACGAUCCGUAACUGGUCUGAGAGGAUGAUCAGUCACACUGGAACUGAGACACGGUCCAGACUCCUACGGGAGGCAGCAGUGGGGAAUAUUGGACAAUGGGCGAAAGCCUGAUCCAGCAAUGCCGCGUGUGUGAAGAAGGUCUUCGGAUUGUAAAGCACUUUAAGUUGGGAGGAAGGGCAGUAAGUUAAUACCUUGCUGUUUUGACGUUACCAACAGAAUAAGCACCGGCUAACUUCGUG